AUUGAACGCUGGCGGCAGGCUUAACACAUGCAAGUCGAGCGGGGUGAUGGUGCUUGCACUAUCACUUAGCGGCGGACGGGUGAGUAAUGCUUAGGAAUCUGCCUAUUAGUGGGGGACAACAUCUCGAAAGGGAUGCUAAUACCGCAUACGUCCUACGGGAGAAAGCAGGGGAUCACUUGUGACCUUGCGCUAAUAGAUGAGCCUAAGUCGAAUUAGCUAGUUGGUGGGGUAAAGGCCUACCAAGGCGACGAUCUGUAGCGGGUCUGAGAGGAUGAUCCGCGACACUGGGACUAAGACACGGCCCAGACUCCUACGGGAGGCAGGAGUGGGGAAUAUUGGACAAUGGGGGGAACCCUGAUCCAGCCAUGCGGCGUGUGUGAAGAAGGCCUUAUGGUUGUAAAGCACUUUAAGCGAGGAGGAGGCUCUUUUGGUUAAUACCCAGAAUGAGUGGACGUUACUCGCAGAAUAAGCACCGGCUAACUCUGUGCCAGCAGCCGCCGUAA
rnacentral:rRNA from 1 species